rnacentral:rRNA from 1 species
GAUGAACGCUAGCGGCAGGCUUAACGCAUGCAAGUCGAGGGGUAGAAGUUGCUUGCAACUUUGAGACCGGCGCACGGGUGCGUAACGCGUAUGCAAUCUACCUUAUACAGAGGGAUAGCCCAGAGAAAUUUGGAUUAAUACCUCAUAGUAUAAUUGAAUGGCAUCAUUUAAUUAUUAAAGUUCCAACGGUAUAAGAUGAGCAUGCGUCCUAUUAGCUAGAUGGUAAGGUAACGGCUUACCAUGGCAACGAUAGGUAGGGGUCCUGAGAGGGAGAUCCCCCACACUGGUAAUGAGACACGGACCAGACUCCUACGGGAGGCAGCAGUGAGGAAUAUUGGACAAUGGGCGCAAGCCUGAUCCAGCCAUGCCGCGUGCAGGAAGAAGCAUCUAUGGUGUGUAAACUGCUUUUGUACGGGAAGAAACACUCCUUCGUGAAGGAGCUUGACGGUACCGUAAGAAUAAGGAUCGGCUAACUCCGUGCCAGCAGCAGCCGCGGUAA